AUGCUCCUCCAAAAGGCCCGCGCCCCCCCCCCCUUUUCACAGUCCUUAUAUCACCGAGUUCUUCCGGGGUUACGUAGCCCCCUUCCUGGUACUGCGGCUGCGUCAAUUGUUGCUAGGGGGUCGUCUCCGGUCCCUCUGGUGGUCGCACGGUUGAAGGCAGUAGUUUUCCUCUGCUUGGCUUUCACAGAAGGCAACAAGCUACAAAAUGUAUGUCACGUGCAACAAGAGGUAUAAAUGACAAAAGCAAGACAAACAAAAGCACCCGAACCAGUGGAAUAAACAAAAGUAUCUACAUAGAGUGGGCAAGUAUCCAAAAACUGAAAAAUCCAUCUGUCCGUUUUUAAGAAAUGGCUAGAGAUUGUCAUUGCUU
rnacentral:lncRNA from 1 species